GGUCGGCACGUGCUGGCCCACGCGCACCUCUAGCCACCCGGGGAAGCGGGCUGGGGGGGCUCCGCGAGCCGGCCGGCUGCUCCCGGGCGUGCACGCGUGGCCGGGGACCCCCGAGCCUUCCCCAGGAAGCUUCUCCCCAUCCGAACGUGCCCACUCGGGACGGCAGGAAGCGUGGUGAAGUCCGCGAACGGCAGGCUCGGGACGAAGGGGAGGCCGAGGAGUGCUAGAGGGUCUAAUGCCUACGGGCUCGUAAAUUCAGAGCUGGAAACGACCCCGUUAUUUUAAUAGAAAAGGGGAGUUGACUGAGGUCGCACAGGUAGUGAGAUUUGAAUCCAGGUCCUGGGACUCUUAAAUAGAGCGCUCUUUCAAUUGGACCAGAGCUCUGAGCCGGAAGGAGGAAGCAAUAAUUGAAUCACCAGAGAGAGGAAAAAGGGCAGUUGCCUCUAAGCCUCUACCGGCUGAGUAUACUGAUGGACACACCUUGAUGGGUACUGGAUGCUAGCGCCACCUUUUCGAUGCUCUACAUCAACACCUAGAAGAAACUUAGUACAUCUUCAUUGAACUGAGCCAAAUCCCAGAAUUGUUGCAGUCUUGUUUAAUGAAAAACUGGAAUAGAGAGAAGUUAAAUGAUUUGCUGAAGACCAAAUAUGACAUCAGUUUGUUGCAGUGGAACAAGAAAAUAUUACUGACCGCAGAUCCAUACCUACUUUCCAAUCUCCAUAAAAAGACUGAGACUAAUCUCCAGAAGCACCAUGGACACCCUCAGUGAAGGUUAUGAGGAAGGAACAGGAAGGCUUUUGCAAACACUACUCUGCAGAUGUUUAGUCACAUGACUGAUUAAAGUCUUUUAAGAAUACAAGAUCCCAUUGUGCUUGUUCUCCAUUGACUGUUUAAAUCAAGCAUUUGAUUCAAUAAAGCAGACUUUCUUGAAGGCCCUGCUCCA
rnacentral:lncRNA from 1 species